UACAGAGGUCUCAAGCGUUGUUCGGAUUCAUUGGGCGUAAAGGGUGUGUAGGUGGCGCCGUAAGUCGGGUGUGAAAUUUCGGAGCUUAACUCCGAAACUGCAUUCGAUACUGCGGUGCUUGAGGACUGGAGAGGAGACUGGAAUUCAUGGUGUAGCAGUGAAAUGCGUAGAGAUCAUGAGGAAGACCAGUGGCGAAGGCUGGUCUCUGGACAGUCCUGACACUGAGACACGAAGGCCAGGGGAGCAAACGGG
rnacentral:rRNA from 1 species